GAUGAACGCUGGCGGCGUGCUUAACACAUGCAAGUCGAACGAAGAUGCCGGAGUGCUUGCACUUUGGCAGACUGAGUGGCGGACGGGUGAGUAACGCGUGAGGAACCUGCCUCAAAGAGGGGGACAACAGUUGGAAACGACUGCUAAUACCGCAUAAGCCCACGGCUCGGCAUCGAGCAGAGGGAAAAGGAGCGAUCCGCUUUGAGAUGGCCUCGCGUCCGAUUAGCUAGUUGGUGAGGUAACGGCCCACCAAGGCGACGAUCGGUAGCCGGACUGAGAGGUUGAACGGCCACAUUGGGACUGAGACACGGCCCAGACUCCUACGGGAGGCAGCAGUGGGGAAUAUUGCACAAUGGGGGAAACCCUGAUGCAGCGACGCCGCGUGGAGGAAGAAGGUCUUCGGGAUUGUAAACUCCUGUUGUUGAGGAAGAUAAUGACGGUACUCAACAAGGAAGUGACGGCUAACUACGUGCCAGCAGCCGCGGU
rnacentral:rRNA from 1 species